rnacentral:tRNA from 1 species
GCGUCUAUAGCUCAGUUGGAUAGAGCGGCAGUUUCCUAAACUGCAUGUCACUGGUUCGAUUCCGGUUAGGCGCACCA